rnacentral:lncRNA from 1 species
CAUAUGUAGUGAAGUUAAAAAUAAUUUUAAAUUAAAUUUACAUGAACAAAGAAUCUUACAUUAAAACAUAAAGUUUGCUACCACUAUAAGAAAUUUUUCCAAAACUGUGGAAAGUUGGCUACCCUGCUUUAAUUAUGCAUCAUUUUGCUUUUUUUUUGCAAAAGAAAUAGGGUUUUUUAAAAUUAUAUCAAUUAAAAAUGUACUUUUAAUCCUAUUUAUUAGAAACUGCAUGGAGAAAUUGUUUUGUUGCUGAAUGAGUUAUCUUAUUUUUGUGAAAUAUUUUCAUGCAUUACUUAAUUAACCUGUUUUUAUCGCAAAGAUGUGGGAGUACCAAUUACAACUAAAUUAGCCCUCGGCUACAAUGUCUUAGAGUAUUGGCUUUUUAUGGAUUUUAAUGUGGACCACUUACAUAUGCAUGUCUGCAUGAUGCUCGAUGUUUUAUUUAUUUUUUGAAAAAUGAUUUCCUCAUUUUGCAGGUGCAAUAUUUAAAUGACAUAAUCAUAUUUAACUGACUUAAUUGAAUCAUAAAAACUGAGUGAGCUGUAUUUUUCAUGUUAGGUAGCAAUAUUUAAAUAGUUAUAUAGUUAUUCUAUAAAAAAAUUAAAUUAAUUACUUUUUUUUUUGCUUGUGUAAGAAAUAUUCAAAGUUUUCGUUGUCUGUGCGUCUAGUAUUACCAAUGAUACAAUGAUGUACACUAACAUUUGCAAACCAGAUCUUUUUAAUUAAUAUAUUAAUGAAUGAUAUAGUUAUAAUGAUAUAGUUAUAAGGUAAUGAUAUCAAUAUACUUUGCUUUUCAUUCUGUUUUUGUCAAUGGAAUUGUUUUUUAAUCUUGGGUCAACUGUUUAUAUGUAUACAUAUAUAAAUAUGUUACUGUGAAUUACCGAAAUCGGUGACUGCUGACUUUCACCGGUGAAUAUUGACAAUCUCAUAGUUGGUAAAUGUUCCAAAUACAUACUAGAUCUAGUUAAGUGCCACUGUCUGUUAUACUUUUGCCUGAUAUCUGAAUACUGAUGUUUCUACUAAUCGUUCCUUAGCAGACAUUAUAAUAUUGAAUAAAUAUAAUAAUAUCAAAGAAUAAAUUAAUAUCAAAUUGGAUAUAGAAAAAUAUUUCGGACAUUCUCCAAAGUGACUAUGUGAUUGUUGAUAUCCACAGAUAAAAGUCGACAUUCUCUCGAUUUCGGUCAUUCACUGUAUCAUAUGUAUAGUUUUGCUUUUCUUCUUGCUUUUGUCCCUUUCCCUCUCUUCUUGUAAAUAUUCUGCCUACUUACAGGUUUUUCUUCAAUAUUUUUCCAAUGAUUUUAUGAUCAUUCAUUUCUAUUUAUUCUUCUGCAUAAGAAAAAUGUAUUUAACAAGAGUCCUGCAACCGAAACAUGUCACUCCCACAAUACUUAAUAACUAUUAUUAAAAUAUUGAAUUAUUUUUUUGUGUGUCAGUAAUUCACUGUAUCUUAAUAAACUAUUUUUGAAUACAAAAUUUCAUAACUUACAGUCAUACUUAAUUAAAAUUUUUCUGUUGAGGUAUAAAUGUAACUUUUUGUUGUGGGUGUAACUAUAAAAGUAAAGUUAAAUAAAUUUACCUUUUGUAACGAAGAUUAAUGAACACGUUUCUGCAUAGCUGUAAGAUUAUUUAUAUAAGUUCAGAGAUUUGCUGAAUAAUUUCCUCAGUUACAUAAGUCCAUGAAACUUAAAGAUUUUUGACACAGUCUUUUUCACACUGAUAUAGUGUCUCUUUAUAAAUUGAAAUAAACAAGUUGAUGACAAAAAUUUCAUUAAAAUAUGGAACAGUAUGCACAGUUAACAUGCUAAAUUUCAACCAUAUUUAAGGAAAUUUAAAUUUACAUGCUUAUAUCCUCUAUCUUGUGGAUAGAGCAACUUAUGAUAUUUUUUAAUGUUAUAUUUUUUUGUAAUAUAUAAUGAUUUAAAGCAUAUUAACUGUACAAAUAUAAAGAUACUAUACAUAUAUAAAGAUUAAAGUGCUAUAUAGGUCUAUCUUACCAUCUCAAGUGUUUUCUGAUAAUUUUUUUGUUUCAGAAAUAUGAUUAUGAGAGCUCAUCAUCUGAAGGUAAAAUCGAAUGAAGUUAAUAAUUCAAGGACCCAUAUUGACAAAACUUAUUUAAAAAGCGCUAGGGAGACAGAUUUUGGAAGAUCCAAAAAGUCCAUCUAGUCCCCAACUUCUUUUGACACCAAGUAUAGAAAAUAUGUGUUCCUUUCAUAUGUGGCAGCUGUUUUGCAAUAGCAACAUAGCAAAGAGUUCUUUAGGGCCCAUUGUUCUGAAUAAAAUGCUUGUGGACAAUAUUGGAAAUGUAACUCUCCUGAAUGGGGCUAUUAUACUGAAUUGUUUGAAAUUGAACAUCCCACAGUAGAAGUUCUCUUGAACUAGCCGAGCUACAAGAUCAAGAAGAACUACAUUUGUUGUACGUAAAAUUUAUUUUCCCUAGUAUUUGCACUUUCCCUAACUACUUGUAUUCUCUCUCUUUAUGUUUAGAUGUAAUUUCUUUUCUUUGUUAUAUUUCAUGCAUGAUAUUACUUGUAUGUAGUUUUUUAGUAACAAUUUGAUUAAAAUACA